CCUACGGGAGGCAGCAGUGAGGAAUAUUGGUCAAUGGGCGGGAGCCUGAACCAGCCAAGUCGCGUGAGGGAAGACGGUCCUAUGGAUUGUAAACCUCUUUAGGCGGGGAGCAAUGCCGGGCACGUGUGCCCGGAGGGAGAGUACCCGCAGAAUAAGCAUCGGCUAACUCCGUGCCAGCAGCCGCGGUAAUACGGAGGAUGCGAGCGUUAUCCGGAUUUAUUGGGUUUAAAGGGUGCGUAGGCGGAUUUUUAAGUCAGCGGUGAAAUGUCCGGGCUAAAACCGGGCCGGCCGUUGAAACUGGGGAUCUUGAGUGGACGAGGAGUAUGCGGAAUGCGUGGUGUAGCGGUGAAAUGCGUAGAUAUCACGCAGAACUCCGAUUGCGAAGGCAGGAUGCCGGCGCCCGACUGACGCUGAGGCACGAAAGCGUGGGGAGCGAACAGGAUUAGAUACCCGUGUAGUC
rnacentral:rRNA from 1 species